UACGUAGGGCGCAAGCGUUAUCCGGAAUUAUUGGGCGUAAAGAGCUCGUAGGCGGUUUGUCGCGUCUGCCGUGAAAGUCCGGGGCUCAACUCCGGAUCUGCGGUGGGUACGGGCAGACUAGAGUGAUGUAGGGGAGACUGGAAUUCCUGGUGUAGCGGUGGAAUGCGCAGAUAUCAGGAGGAACACCGAUGGCGAAGGCAGUUCCCUGGGCCGUAACUGACGCUGAGGAGCGAAAGCGUGGGGAGCGAACAGG
rnacentral:rRNA from 1 species